UACCUUUAUCAGCUCCAGGAGU
rnacentral:misc_RNA from 1 species